rnacentral:rRNA from 1 species
GACCAGGGCUACACACGUGCUACAAUGGCCGGUACAAAGAGUUGCAAUACCGCGAGGUGGAGCUAAUCUCAUAAGCCGGUCUCAGUUCGGAUUGGAGUCUGCAACUCGACUCCAUGAAGUUGGAAUCGCUAGUAAUCGCGGAUCAGCACGCCGCGGUGAAUACGUUCCCGGGCCUU